rnacentral:rRNA from 1 species
CCCUUAGAUGUCCUGGGCCGCACGCGCGCUACACUGACAUGUUCAACAAGUUUCUCCUAGUUCGACAGGACUGGGAAAUCUUUGAACGCAUGUCGUGAUAGGGAUAGAUCAUUGCAAUUAUUGAUCUUGAACGAGGAAUUCCUAGUAAACGCGAGUCAUCAGCUCGCAUUGAUUACGUCCCUGCCCUUUGUACACGCCGCCCGUCGCACCUACCGAUUGAAUGUUUCGGUGAAGAUUCCGGAUAGGACUGAUUUGAUUUAUUUCAUUUCUGACCUAAAAGCUAUCUAAACCUCAACAUUUAGAGGAAGGUGAAGUCGUAACA